CUCGAGGCCAGAUCUUUCCGGUUGAUCCCGCCGGACCUGACUGCUAUCGGAUUGAUACUAAGCCAUGCGAGUCAUUGUAGUAAUACAAGGCAGACGGCUCAGUAACGCGUAGUCAACCUACCCUAUGGACGGGAAUAACCUCGGGAAACUGAGAAUAAUGCCCGAUAGAACAUUAUGCCUGGAAUGGUUUAUGUUCCAAAUGAUUUAUCGCCGUAGGAUGGGACUGCGUCCUAUCAGUUUGUUGGUGAGGUAAUGGCCCACCAAGACUAUUACAGGUACGGGCUCUGAGAGGAGUGGCCCGGAGAUGGGUACUGAGACACGGACCCAGGCCCUAUGGGGCGCAGCAGGCGAGAAAACUUUGCAAUGUGCGAAAGCACGACAAGGUUAAUCCGAGUGGUUUCUGCUAAAGGAACCUUUUGUCGGUCCUAGAAACACCGAUGAAUAAGGGGUGGGCAAGUUCUGGUGUCAGCCGCCGCGGUAAAACCAGCACCUCAAGUUGUCAGGAUGACUAUUGGGCCUAAAGCAUCCGUAGCCGGCUCUGUUAGUUUUCGGUUAAA
rnacentral:rRNA from 1 species